UGCUCUUGCUUACUCAUAAUAACUAGAUUUUUGGUUUUAUCUUCACAUGUCACUACUACAUCAUUGUUCUUCAGCCAACUUUUGGCUUGUGCUAUCUUGUUAUUUCCUUGAGACCUGACAUUUUUUAGGUGUUUUCUUCUUUGGUCUACAAAUUGCCAUCUCAUAUUAUCUUUCAUCAUAGUGUCCAUGUUUUCUAAGAGUGUUUAAAAACUUGUAUAUCAUCCAAGAUGCUAGAUUUUUUAUCUAUGGCACUUAGCGGUCCAUGCUCUAGGAUUUCUGUUACACGUGGCAGUAAAUUUAUGUCGCCUAUAACUGUUACAACAUUUGACAAUGGCAACUUAUUAUGCCUUUUAUACUUUUUUUGUUUUUUCAAUAGCCAUUUCAGUUUUUUAAUGUGUUUUAUCCUUAGUUUCUCUGUCAUGUCUGUCUCAUAUUUCUCUUAACUUUUUCAAUUCUUCUCUUAUUGAAGUGUUAUUUAAAUCUUGUAACGAUUCUUGGAGUCUAUGUUUUUGUUGCUGUAGUUUGUGUGACCUUCUACUCGAAUCUGUUAUAGCAGCCUUCAAGCAUACUUUUUUAGUAUUCUAUAGUAUCUUCUUCGAUUUAACAGGGAGGUUUAUGCUAUCAAUUGAUCUUGGAUAUACACCAUUUAUCUUGCACUGUUUUAGGAAGAUAUUGGUUUCUGAUGCUCUGCAUACUUUCUUUGCUGUUUUAUACAGUUCCUUGACUUUCUGUUGGAUUAUGAGCUGGCUCUGCUCCAUUAUUGUACAUUUUUUGGACAUUGAAGUUGAGGUGUAGGAUGAUAAUUGUGGGACAAAUGUGUAUCGUAAACCGGCGUUCCACUCGAUCUUUAUACUGAGAUGGUCGGGUGGCCCAGUUAAGUUUAGGAAGUCGG
rnacentral:lncRNA from 1 species